rnacentral:tRNA from 4 species
GCCCCCGUAGCUCAGGGGAUAGAGCACCGCUCUCCUAAAGCGGGUGCCGGCAGUUCGAAUCUGCCCGGGGGCGCCA